rnacentral:lncRNA from 1 species
CUACACAGCGCGCACACACACAUACGCGACGCUGUUGUCGCUGUUUCUCUCGAAUCCAGAGCCGCCCUGCCGCGUCGCUCCGACAGCGGUUGCCCGACGCCACCGCCGCUGAAGCAGCGCAGCCUGGAGCCGUUGCUGCUGCCUCAAGUCGUCGUCUGACCUCCAGCUACCGCCUCGCUCGGAGCCGCCGCCGACGUCUACAGAAGGGGCCUCGUCAAGCAGGUCGUCGACACCAUUGAGAACCUCAUUAAUGAAGUGGCGCGGACCUAGAUUUAAUGAUUCGAAUAUGGCUUCGCUGUUGCUACCUCCUUCCAUUACCCUUUCCCAGUUCUUGUAGAGAGAUGAAUGUUUGGUUUGGUGAAUGUGUGGUUUUCAAAUUGAGAUACCCGUUCAGUCCGCCACCAGUCAAGACUCAAAGUCUCCAACAAAGUUAGCAGGGAUUUGGUCUUGUUAUUGGUUUUAUUUAUGACUGAUGAGUGAUGGCAUAGGUGUUAAGGUGUAUCAUUCAAUCAAUUCAGCUUUGAUUUUGAUUUCUAUGUGAUAUUGAAGUGGUGCUAAUAAUAUAUGGAAUUCUGCAUCUCAGCAUUGAUUAAUUUGAUAACUU